AUGUCAUCAACAACAAUUCUCCUAAUAAUUUCAUCAACAGAAAUUCUCUUCACAAUUUCUACCAAAUUCAUCAAUGACAUUUCCAACAGAUUUUUCCAAGCUUACAACAAACCUACAUCAAAUCAGAGGCGCAACACAGGAAAAUCUGAGGCAAAUCAGAGGCAAGGAGAGGAUAGGGGGAGAGGGGUGCAUACCGAGAGGUGUGCUUGCGGCGGAGAGGGGGGAGAGGAGUCCCCCAUGCUCGGCGAGCUGCUCCUGUCGUGGACAAGGCGAGCGGCGAGGCCGUGGGCGAGGUCACCGGCGGCGAGGUUGCCGUUCUUGUCAUGGGCAAGGCGAGCGGCCCCUGCUGGUCGCUUCGGCCGCCGUUCCUGCCCCGCCCCCACCACCGUCAGUCGCCCACACCCCUGCUUCGCCUCCAUGCCCCUACCUCGCCUCCGCCCCCUGCUGGUUACCUCCACUGCCGGCCCCGCCCCCGCCUCCGCCCCUGCUGGUUGCUUCCGCCGCGAGGCCAUGGGCGAGGUCACCUGCAGCGAGGUCGUGGGCAAGGCGAGCGGCCCCUACUGGUUGCUUCAGCCGCCAGCCCCGCCCGCCGGCCGUCGCCUGCCCGCCGCCCACCGGCCCCGCCCUCGUUCGUUGCUUGUUUCCGCCGCCGCCCGCCGCCACCUGGUCGGAAGACCUAGAAAAACACUAAGUGUUGCUCUGUUCGAUGCCACCCACCUGGUCAGAAGGCCCCACUUGUCACUGAUACGAGAGAGCUGUGGUUUUAUAUAA
rnacentral:rRNA from 1 species